rnacentral:rRNA from 1 species
CUUGUACACACCGCCCGUCACACCAUGGGAGCGGGUUCUGCCAGAAGUAGUUAGCCUAACCGCAAGGAGGGCGAUUACCACGGCAGGGUUCGUGACCCUGGGGUG